rnacentral:sRNA from 1 species
CUUGGUCAUUUAGAGGAAGUAAAAGUCGUAACAAGGUUUCCGUAGGUGAACCUGCGGAAGGAUCAUUAUCAAAACAGCGGACUUCGGUCCUUGCUGCACCCUUGUCUUUUGCGUACCGUAUGUUUCCUCGGCGGGCUUGCCUGCCGGUUGGACAAUAUCAAACCUUUUUGUAGUUGCAAUCAGCGUCAGAAAACAAAUAAUAAUUACAACUUUCAACAACGGAUCUCUUGGUUCUGGCAUCGAUGAAGAACGCAGCGAAAUGCGAAAAGUAGUGUGAAUUGCAGAAUUCAGUGAAUCAUCGAAUCUUUGAACGCACAUUGCGCCCCUUGGUAUUCCAUGGGGCAUGCCUGUUCGAGCGUCAUUUUGUACCCUCAAGCACUGCUUGGUGUUGGGCGUUUGUCCUGCAAAGGACUCGCCUGAAAGCGAUUGGCGGCCAACGUACUGGUGGUAGAGCGCAGCACAAUUUGCGUCUCUCCCUUCUACGUCGGCGUCCAUGAAGCCUUAUUCAAACGUUUGACCUCGGAUCAGGUAGGGAUACCCGCUGAACUUAAGCAUAUCAAUAAGCGGAGGAAAAGAAACCAACAGGGAUUGCCCUAGUAACGGCGAGCGAAGCGGCAUCAGCUCAAAUUUGAAAUCUGGCUCUUUCAGAGUCCGAGUUGUAAUUUGCAGAGGGCGCUUUGGUGUCGGCAGCGGUCCAAGUUCCUUGGAACAGGACGUCACAGAGGGUGAGAAUCCCGUACGUGGUCGCUGACCUACACCGUGUAAAGCCCCUUCGACGAGUCGAGUUGUUUGGGAAU